AUGAGGCACUCUCUGGAAAAAUUCCGUUUCUCUUAUGAGUCCAAGAAGCUCCAUCUGAUGGACUAUGAUGAGCGUGUGCUGCCAUCUAUUACUACAGAGAUCCUCAAGUCGGUGGUGGCUCGCUUUGAUGCUGGAGAGCUAAUCACCCAGAGAGAGCUCGUCUCCAGGCAGGUGAGCGAUGACCUUACGGAGCGAGCAGCAACCUUUGGGCUCAUCCUGGAUGAUGUUUCCUUGACACAUCUGACCUUCGGGAAGGAGUUCACAGAAGCAGUGGAAGCCAAACAGGUGGCUCAACAGGAAGCAGAGAGGGCCAGAUUUGUGGUGGAAAAGGCUGAGCAGCAGAAAAAGGCAGCCAUCAUCUCUGCUGAGGGGGACUCCAAGGCAGCAGAGCUGAUUGCCAACUCACUGGCCACAGCGGGUGAUGGCCUGAUCGAGCUCCGCAAGCUGGAGGCUGCAGAGGACAUUGCAUUCCAGCUGUCGCGCUCUCGGAACAUCACCUACCUGCCAGCAGGGCAGUCUGUGCUCCUCCAGCUGCCCCAGUGAGGGCCUGCCCUGCCUGUACUCCUCAAGCCAACUGGGCCACAGCCCUGAUGAUGAUUAACACCACCUCCCUUCUGCCCCCACCCAGAAAUCACUGUGAAAUCUCAUGAUUGGCUUAAAGUGAAGGAAAUAAAAGUAAAAAUCACUUCAGA